UAAGAUAAUCAUUUAGAAAAAGAAAAUUUUAAUUAUUGUAAAUCUUUUUUUGUUUCUUUUGCAGAGAGGCAUUGUGAACUAGUUAAGUGGUUAGUAUCUUAUCUAAUAAGAUGCAAUAAACAUUAACUUGGUGAUUGAAUUUUGAAAUAUGUUUUAUUUAUUUAUGUGAUUAGUUGGGACUUUAGGCUAUGAGUACAGGGUAUGGAAAUCCUCAGUUAGAAUGUAGUGCAGCUGAUGAAUGUUCCAAGCUAUUGGCUUAUGAAGUUAUUGGAUUAGAAGAGAAGGCACUCAGAUUGAGGUCAAAUGAGCUAAAAUUUGAGAGGCAACUGGAGAACAUUAUCUUAUCUUAUUCUCUUUUCUCUUAGGUUGAUCAACCUUGUCACAUGAAACGGGUUUGUUCUAGGGCUCUUAUCUUUAUUGGCGGUCAAUAUUUGAAGAUAUGGUACUAGUGGUGGUUAUCCUUCUCAACAAGGAAUCAUUAGGGAUGCUCAGGCUUCUCCAGAUCAUCUCAGCCAGAGGAUAGACAUUGACACUUCUCAACUAGUUGCCUUUGGAAGGUCUCUUGGUGGAGCAGUUGGUGUUGUAGUUACCAAAAAUAACCUUGACAAGUUCUCAUGAAACGUGAGUCAAACCUGUGGGAUAAUUGAUGAAGAAAGGAAGGGAGAGCUACAACUUUCAUGCUACUGGGAGAGAAGAUAUAGAUGUACGUAUAUUUUUUAGACUUUUUUUGUCAACUAGAAGGUGAUCUGUUACAUAAGCACUAAAAUCUGUCCCACUUUACUACCCGAGUUGAUCAAUUUGCAUCAACUCUUUUUCAUUGAUGCUUAAAUUAUGUUUAGGUAGAGGGAACCUUUCCUAAUGGAACAAAGUUAAUUACUGUAGAUGAUCCAGUAUCUUGUGAAAAUGGAAAUCUUGAAAUAGCUUUACAUGGAUAUUUUCUUCCACUUCAGCAAUCUGUACUUUCAUCUUUUCAGAUCCAUUUUACUUAUCUUGGGUGCCAAAUUUGACGGAUAUUUGUAGAAAGUUGUAAGAUUCAUGGAGAACUAACCUUCGGACAUAGAUAUAUAAUGCUUAAUUCUGGAAGGGAAGCAGUAGUCCUUAAAGUAACUAACAAUGGAGAUAGACCAAUACAGGUUGGAAGCCAUUACCAUUUUAUCGAGGUCAAUCCAAGUUUAAUUUUUGAUCAAAGAAAAGCAUAUGGCAUGAGACUAAAUAUACCCACAAGAACAACUACUAGAUUUGAGCCAGGGGAUGCAAAAUCUGUCACUCUUGUAAAAAUUGGUGGCAUGCAAGUAAUGGAAUCAAUACAUGCAAUUGCAGACAGCCCUGUCACUGAUUCCAAUGUCAAAACAGUAAUGGAAUCAAUACGUGCAAGAGGAUUCGGCAAUUCCAAAGAUACUAGUACCAAGUUAAGAUAUCAAAAGUUGUUUCUUUUGGUAUUUCUGUAUAAACAAUAAUUGUGUGUGUUAU